AUUAUUGAUUUCUUUAAUUAUUUUUAUAUAAGGCUCGGUCCACUACUAUUUUCAUUUUUAUUAUGUACUAACGUUUUUAAAAAGUAAUUGAAACAUUAGUUGUGUGUGUGCUUGGUUAGGUAAGAGACAUUCCGAGAAAAAGAAUCGAGAAGAAGAAAAAAGAGAAAAGUUAAUGGGUAAAUUGUGAAAAUGUGUAAAAGAAAGGGUCGUUGUUUGAAAAGACCCACAAGAAAGGGACGAGGAUGUAUUUUUUUUUUGUAAAAAAGGCUUUCAUUAAAAUUUAAAACAAAGUACAGAUGUGAUUUGUUAGAUCAUAUAGUUUGAGAAAGUGUGAUACAUGAAGUAGACAUAAAAAAGAGCUAUAAAAGUUUGAAAACUUAGUACAACUCUUAGCUUAACCAAACUAAGAAGGAUAUUAGUGCGCUUGAUUGGAACCUCGACCUCUACGGCCUCGUUUUCCUUUUCCACGAACUGUCAUCCAUCCCAUAUCUUGGUACUUUUGUGUCGGUUUGAUCAACCGACCCCCUCUUGUCAUGUUUCCAUCCAAUACAUCCUCGUUCGGGACGAGGAUGUAUUGGAUGCCCGUGAUUCAUGAAUGGUAUGUGGCCUUGGUUACGCGUCACGCAUUUGUUUGUAUAUCGAUUUAUAUGAACCAUAUUUCAAGAACAAAUACAUAUAUUGUUUAAAUAUAAAAAGAAUGAAUGUAUAAUCAUAUACAAAAAUCACAUAGUAGUAGUAUGAUGAUGAUGACAAAGAAAAUAUUACCAUGAAUUUACAGAGGUAGCUUAAGUGUUUCAAGAUACAUUAAAGUACUUUGUCUUCAUUAGUGUUAGAUAAAAAAAUGGUUUAGUAUUGUGUUACCAACUACAAAGUUCAUAUGUCGACGUAUUUUUUUUAUGUUUUUGUUGCUACUGAAAGAACAAAAACAUAUCACAUGGGGAACGUAUAUGUUCUGAUGUGACCUAAUUUUUGGUCGUGAAUAAUAUUGCUUUCAGAUUCCAUUAAAAGGAAAAGAUUAUAAAACAAAUGAAAAAAUGAAUAAUAAAAAAUAGGAAAAAGAGAAGGAGAGUGGAGAGGAGAGAGGAGAGGGGACCUGAAAAGCAGAAGAAGCAGUUCCGAAGACAAAGCCUUUUGGGAAACUGCCUCUGGAAAUUUCCUCAGCACAUAUGCAUGUCUUAUCCAUCGUCACCAUCAUCAUAAUUAUGGUCAUCGUCAACAUGAAAGAUAGAAGUGAGAGAUACGAAACAAGGAGAAUAAAGAAGAGUGCUAGUGGAAAACCAAAGCUAUGAAAGGGGUGCUAUAAAUAGGAAAGUGGGAAAUGUGAGAUAUAUGAAAUCUUCGGCUUUAUAAAAAAAGAAAUGAAAUCUUCGGAUAAGAUGCUAAUUAUUAAUUAAAAAAAUAUAAAUACAUUAUAAUAACUGUUGCUGAGAAAAGAAAAUGAAAGACAUAUCAAAAAUAGACGUACAAAAAUUAAUAGUGAAUUAUUUUUUAUGUUAUAGAACUAGUUAUAUGGAUAAAGUUGAU